UACGAAGGGGGCUAGCGUUGCUCGGAAUUACUGGGCGUAAAGCGCACGUAGGCGGCUUUCUAAGUCGGGGGUGAAAUCCUGGAGCUCAACUCCAGAACUGCCUUCGAUACUGGAAAGCUCGAGUCCGGGAGAGGUGAGUGGAACUGCGAGUGUAGAGGUGAAAUUCGUAGAUAUUCGCAAGAACACCAGUGGCGAAAGGCGGCUCACUGGCCCGGUACUGACGCUGAGGUGCGAAAGCGUGGGGGAGCAAACAGG
rnacentral:rRNA from 1 species